rnacentral:lncRNA from 1 species
GGACGGGGGACAAGGUGAGGGGACAGGGACAGCCCUUCCCCAGCAGCUCUGUCACUAUAUUUUAAUAAAUCCCUAUCUUAUUCCUUUAACUCUGUCUAGGCAGCCUCUCUAGGCAUCGAGGGGAGAGAAAUCUCAGCAUUGCUGCUCCCAGGGAGCCCCCAGGCACUGAUCCAGCCCCAGGGAGCCCCCAGGCCCUGCCCCUGGCCUGAGCACUGACCCUGGCCUGGCACUGCCACUUCCCCUGUCCCUGUCCCUGUCCCUGUCCCAGCACUGACCCUGUCAAGUGCGGCAACGGCGGCCGCUCUCAAAGGAGAACAGGUUGGAGUCGAAGCCCCCCUGUCCCAGCCCCUGGCACUGUCCCAGCCCCUGUCCCAGCCCCUGUCCCUGCCCUGUCCUGUCCCUGUCCCCAGGGUGCUCCCCAGCACUGACCCGGGCCGGUGUGGCAGCGGCGGCCGCUCUCGAAGGAGAACAGGUUGGAGUCGAAGCCGUAGCGCCGCAGGCUCAGGUACGGCCACCGCACGGCGUCGCGCUUGUGCGAGUGCAGGAUCAGCUCCCGCCGCGUCAGCUCCAUCACCCCCGAGCCCAGCUCGUGCCCCUCGUCGUCCACGUUGGUCACCUGCAGGGACACCAGUGUUCAUUAACAAAUUAACCUUGGUUAAUUAACAAACCACCCUUUUGUCAUCUCCAUAACGCAUUCCGCGUGUUCACAGUAACAGGUUAACAUCAGAAUUGUUUUUCAUUCUUUUUUCUGAUCUUCUCCAGCCUUUCCUAAGAGCAAUGAUUGGGAAAGUUGUGGGGAACUCCCUGGGCACUUCCAAGGCAUGACCACCCAAUUCCUGCUGAUUUCCAGCCCAAACCUCCCCCUUUUGGGACACACACAACACUUUGGAUCUGGUUACCAUAAGAGAUUUGAUCAUCAGGAUGCCUUGGCAAGAACAACCAGCUUUGAAGAUUGCAAGAAGAUCAAACCAGGCUGACUUACUGGAUAAGAAAAUUACACCAAGAUUUCUGCAAGCGAGAGAUGUUGUAAAAUACUAAAUUUUGUUUAUGUGAUGAUUAACCCAAUCAUUGUAAUAAAACAUUUCUAGCCUUCCCA